UUUCAUUCAGUUUUCCUUUGUGAUUCUUGAAAUCAUCAAUUUCUGGAAUAGUUUUCUUGACUCAUAUGGGGUAAAAAUGGAUUGAACUUGGUAUUGAAAGAGCUGGUUUAAGUUUGCUGAUUUGUUUAUUGUUCCAUCGAUUCUUCUUAGUGCAUUAUCACUAUUUCAAUUGUUGAAGCUGGGCUGGCUGUUACUGUUUGUUACUGAAUCCCUCAUUUUUCUGUUUUGAUUUUAAUUCCAGGUACAUUUUCUGAACUUUACUUGAUGUAAGUUUUAGUUUGAAGAUGGAAAUGAGAGGUUAAGGAAAGGCAGCAGACUUACCUGAGUUUUGUUUACUUUUUUUAUUGUUUGUGCUUUAAAUCACAUGUAUCGUUGUGUAUUCUAGCUGGUUUCCGUUUGAAUGGUGAAGUUCCUAUAGCUAUAUUUGGUUUGAUACUGUUGGAA
rnacentral:lncRNA from 1 species